CCCCCCCCCCCCCCCCAGCACCCUGACACGCCGCCGCGGCCGACGCCGCGCCCCUGAUGUCGUGCCCCACGACGCCCAUCGACGUCCUUCUCAGUGUACGUGGGCGCCUACAAGUGAGACUCCUCCACCCCCGCGCCCUAGCCUCCCGUGCCAAUCCUCCGCCACCACUGCCGAGGGUGGGCUGCGGGGAGUGCAAGGAGAAGGCGUGGGCGAUAGAGAAAGGCACCGCGCCGUCGCAAGUGGAUCCCAACAGCGAGCUCCCGUGACGCGAAUCGAUCUUCGGCAACGGGAAUCGACCUCCGGUGGCGUGAAUCGAUCUCAGGCAACAGGAAUCAAGCACGAAACGACCCUCUGUCCCUUCGAUUUCGUUGCCAGGAUGGAGCGCCCCCUUCUUUCAAUCGGUAGCCUCUUGCAGCGUGGGCGAGGACGCAAAGGUGAAGCCCACACGCGGCAACUGAACUUCCUCACCGUCACCUUAAGCUGAUGGAUUUCUUCAUAGAGCUCGGGACCGGCACACUGAUGGCCACAUCUUCGUAUUUGAGCACAACUUCUCUCCUACCGGCCAAGGGACAAUGAUGGGAAGGAAAUGUGCUAGCGGCGUUGGCAUACUCUUCUUGUUGAGGUAGGAGUAAGGAGGAAGGCUGAACCUUCUGAAACGGCCAGCGAAAUUGAGGUAUUUGAUUAUUUGUAAAUUUUAAGGAAGGUGGCUCUCACAGAGGGCACCCCGACAAUAUUGUAUACAUGAUCCUCAGGUUUCAGGUAGGAUGAUGAUAGCAUUUAGAUUGUUGUAGCUGGACCUGGAGCUGACAACAAUUGCUAUAAAAACCCAAUCCAUUUUAUACCAAUAAAAUAUUCUGAACUUGCAAAUU